UCAUCAUGAGACUGCACUGAGAGGAUGGCCUUUCUCCUGGCUAUGUGCUCCCACUGGACAUCUUCAAGGAACUGAAUGCUCAGAAAACUAUCAGAACCACAACAAAAGCUAAGUGAUUUCAAUUUUCUUGGGGUCUAGCUUUCCCAUAUUUGCAAUCUGUAUGAAUAAUUGAGCCAGUAUAAGAGGCAGGGCAGGGACUUGCACUUUUGGCAGCUGCUCAACUCUACUUGGCUCAACCCUGAUGAGAAGCAGAAGUCACAUUUGCUAGUAGGCUCUGGCUGCCAUUUAAUAUCUGUUGGUAUGUUAGGGAUCUGACUCAUGUUUGCUUGACAAGCAGCUAAAAUGGGUUAAAGUAUGUUACUCCCUCAGGCACACAUCAGCUCUUUUGCAGCUGGGGUCAGGACGCCACGGUUUCGCUGGCAUGCUGCAGGCACAGUAUGCUCUGCUCCUGGACAACAACCUGUGGCAGUGGGGAGGAGUGAAGGCCUAGAGGGGAAACACCUCCAGGUGUCACAGACAGAUUUGCAAAAGCUUAUCUCCCAAAACCCACUGUGGGGUCAGGGACUUGGCAUGUCACCAAGCGGGGCAGCGAUGUGGGGCAAGUGGCCCAGGCUGAAGCACUGGGCUUGCCGUCAGCAGCUGCCUCAUGGCAGCUCCAACAGCACUGCAAGGACCCUGCACUGGCUUUGAGGGCUGCUUAACUUCUGUAUCUCAUUUUGCCCAGCAGUGUAAUGUGAAUGGAUAAGUGCACUGGGUCCCUUUCAGGAUUAGAGUUCAAGAGUAGUCUUUUUUCUUUGGUUAUCUCUUCUAUCUUCCUAUCUCCUCCUCAGCAGCCACUUUUCCAAGAAGUAAUAACUCAGAUCCUUUAGUUCCUUAUCCUAGCCAAAUGCUUUGAUCAAUUUGUUAUCUCUCUAAACAUUUUCCAACAUGUUUCUAGUCUUUCCACCUUGAAUGAGCCUCACAGAAAAAUGUAAACCAUUUUUUGCUUUCAGCAGAUUAUUUCUUGUUCUUCAGCUCUUCUGUGGUUUUCUUUUCCUUCUUUACUUUUUUUUUCCUUUUAAAAAUACUUACACCAUUUUACAUAAAAACUAGACUGACAUUUUAUUUCUGGCACGGGAUACAACCAAAUCCCCACUGCAGUUUCUGCUGGGUUUAGAGCAACAAUCUCUGUUUGAAAACUUAUAAUGCUCCUUACUCUGGAUAACUGCUAAUACACUCUCCCUCAGUGCUUCUCUUGUCACUUGUAGAUGACCACAACUGUGAGACUAUUUUGCCUACCUGAGCUCCUAGAGCAGCACUAUGAGUCUGGAAAGAAAAUUGAUGUUGUUGUGACUGCUGGUCAGUAUCUGCUACUGCCUCUGUCCACUUGUAAUUUGGACUCCAGCAGCCAUCAUGCUUGUUGUUAUUAAUGCUCCAGUCUGUUUUCAGGCCUGGUUCUGUUGCAAAACACAUACAAGGAGAAAUAUGCAAGGAACAUUUAACUCUGUUAAAAUAGACCUGCUGUUUUACUGCUACAUUUCUUUUUCUUCUCUACUGGUUUCCCUCUCCUUCAUCCUCCUAAUGUAGCAUAUUUGUGGGUGCAUAUAGUAGUUCAUUGCAAAAUAUACUGGAUUUAAAGCAAAACAGAGAAAAACUCCCUGAACUGAAAUUGCUUCUUUAAAACUGCCGCAUUAAGUUUGGCCAUGAUCCACCCUGGAGACUUUCCCUGGCAGAGACUGUGAUGCACACAUCUCAGUUUGGAAUUGCUCUUUCGGACACAGAUUCCCGCAAGAAUAGCAGGAACAAGACAGGCCAAGUCAUGCUAGGCAGCAAAGCCCACUGCAGUCCAGUGAAGACAGUCUGUCCAUUCACCUCUUAUGGACUUUUCCGGGGCUGUCUGCGUGUAAGGGGGCGGGGAAGGGAAAGGGACUAGAGGACAGAAAUGUAGUUGGGGUUUUAAAUUGUUCUGUUUCUGAAGGAUUCAAGUAAUGGAUGUGAAACUGUUCAAGCUUCCAUUAUGGAAAAUUAUUAUCUUUCACAUGUUCUUUACGCUGUGCUUCACUAAAAACUUGUUUCAUUGUUGGACUGUGUUGAACUCUUACUGGAAAAAUUCCUGCUCUUCUUUUUCUGGCCUGAUCCAGCUGACUUCUAAGCUAAAAGAGAUUUGCUAGAUUUAGAAGUACUGCCAACACUUGGAUGCUCUGCCAGCCAUGUACAUUUUGAGGAAUCCUUGGAGAUGCCAGAUAAUAACUAGUGCAGGUGGAGUGGUCCCAGGGGCUUCCCAGAGAGGAGCUGCUGGCACAGGACAAGCUGUUGCUGAAGGAAAAAAACCCCAAAACAACCAUGAAAGCUGAAAGACCAGUAUCCUGGUUUCUGUGAAAACGGAAAUAAAACACCAUCAUUCUACCAAAUCGAUGGUUUCAAAAGCCUUUGCCAAACUAAUACUCCAGUAUGAAGCAGUAUGAGCUCUCUGUAUCCUCCCACUGCCACCCCAGGGAGAGAGCCCAGGGAAGCACAGGCUCAAGGACCUCUGGAUCUUGCUCACAGUCCUCUAAGGCACCAUUUCCUGCUGUCUCUUUGGCUGCAGACAUCUGCCUGAGCUACCUGGCAAAGCUUUGCUGCCUUCACCCUCGGCUCUGCAGUCUGGGAGCACGUGUUGGCUGUUUGGGUCUAUCAGCAUCAGGGCGGUGAGCGUGAGUGCUGCUGAGGGACUGAGGCUGAGGGUGAGACCUGCAUUUGAACUGGCAGUGGAGGGAUGGAACUGCUGGGUGUGCCACUCAGCAAACAUUCCUGACUAAAGCAAAAAGCCUUGAUGCUUACAGACCACAGGUACCUAGCUAGUCCAAUACAGCAGGCUCAAGUGCUGCUGCUGCCCAGUGGGUGGAUCACACUCUUUUCAGCACUUCAGCAGUUUUGCGGUUCAGAAGCGUAAUAUUGUUUCCUAACAUGACAACCCUGCUGCUCUUCUCCAGGAAGGUUGCUCCCUUGGCUUGUACCCUUUCAACAGCAGCCAGAGUAAUAUAGGCAGCCUCAUUCCUCAGUUAACACAGCUUUACAUGGCAUUAAAGAGUAUGGUAAGCCAGUGAAAAUGGGAACAUGACCAGAGAUAGGUGGUAGCCAUUCAUCUGCUCCUUGAAGUUUUGUCUUGUUUUCACUGCUGUAGAUCCUUCUGUACUAGUCUGGUUGCCUCUGUCAAUGGCAGAAUAGACAGAGCCAUGCUGACACAGUUAUGGGAGAAAGAAUGACCAAUUACAGUGACAGUUUUGUGUUUGGAGCUUGUGCUGUCAUGCAAUGAAACGGCCUAUGCUUGGGCAGGGAAGGGAGGAACCGCUGUGAGCCGGUGGCUGCUUGGAGUAGCUGGGGUUGCAGUGAGGCUCAGCCUCCCUAGAUUAAAGCAGUGUUUCAUGUCAUGUGUGCCCAGUCAGUGUUGUUCAUGGCAUAACCAUUUCACAAACACUGGGCUUAGACACAUCUUUGGGAAUUAUCUGAAACAAAGAGGAGAAAGCAUCAAUUACUGUGCCUGCCCAUGUGCUCUGGUCUGUUCCCCUGCCAGAAUUGUAUUUCUGUCGGGUGUGAAAAUUAUUGGAGACUGGUAAAACUCCGGAGCACUGCAUAGAGCUGCUGAGUGACAGGAGAGAAUGUAUUAGGUAGCUUCUGGGCCACCAGUGCAGGGGCAAGCAGCCGGGGAUCUGAGACAGGUGCUGCUCCCAGGGAUGGCUGGCUGUGAGCCAGCUUCAUGUUGGGGCUGCUUUAGGUGGUACUGUGCUGGGGCAGGUGCAUUCUAUUGCAUGGAAAACUCAUAAGCCCACACAGAGCAUCAUGAUAAUGCAGCUCUCACCUUUCUGCUCUUAGAGUCUAGACAAUUACAAUAAUCCUAGACAAUGACUACUGCCACAAAGACAACUAAAUCCUACCUGCAGGCACAUUUAAUUGAAAACUGCCACAAUAUUCAUUGGCCCUAGAGGUGCUUUAGUUUUUACUAGCAAUUUCCUAGAGGUGCUCUCAGUUUGGUGGCAGCACAGCACAGGCCAUCAAUGCCAUGCUGGCUAAAUGAUAGGCUGCAAGGUGCUUCUCCCAGCCAAGACCUUGUACACAUGGCUCAGCAUCAAAUCUGGAGACUUUGCAGUUGUGGG